UGCCUCAGUAACGGCGAGUGAAGCGGCAACAGCUCAAAUUUUAAAGCUGGCGUCUUCGGCGUCCGCAUUGUAAUUUGGAGAGGCAUCUUCGGUUAGGGCGCCAGCCUAUGUUCCUUGGAACAGGACGUCACAGAGGGUGAGAAUCCCGUGCCUGGCUGGAUGUCCCUUUCCAUGUGAAGUGUCUUCGACGAGUCGAGUUGUUUGGGAAUGCAGCUCAAAAUGGGUGGUAAAUUUCAUCUAAAGCUAAAUAUUGGCGGGAGACCGAUAGCGCACAAGUAGAGUGAUCGAAAGAUGAAAAGCACUUUGAAAAUAGAGUUAAAAAGUACGUGAAAUUGUUGAAAGGGAAGCGCUUGAGACCAGAGUCGGCCGUGGAUGAUCAGCCGCCCUUAUCGGACGGUGCACUCGUCUGCGGUCGGGCCAGCAUCGGUUGAGCCGGCGGGACAAAGGCUCGGGAAAUGUGGCUCCCUUCGGGGAGUGUUAUAGCCCCGGGCGCAAUGCCGUCAGGCUCGACCGAGGACCGCGCUUUUAUGCUAGGAUGCUGGCGUAAUGGUCUUCAGCGACCCGUCUUGAAACACGGACCAAGGAGUCUAACAUCUAUGCGAGUGUUCGGGUGUCAAACCCCUGCGCGUAAUGAAAGUAAACGGAGGUGGGAACCCUUUCGGGGGCGCACCAUCGACCGAUCCAGAAGUCUUCUGAA
rnacentral:rRNA from 1 species